GUUUAUCUUCAAAAGAACGUAUAUUAUAUAUAUGUUGAUAGCAAAAUAAAAGGGGAAGGCAAAAAUUAGAGUGGGAGUGACGGAGAGGGAGAGUCCGAACCAAAGGGAGCCAGAGGAUGAGAAGGAGAGGAGAGGGGAAGGGAAGGAAGAGGCGUUGCCGGUGAUGAACACAGCCACCAUCGCCGCUGUCUGACCGCCACACCACUAAACCCUAGCCAUCAUAGAGGAGAGGGUGAUCGAAGUAGAGAAGCACCGCGUGAAGGAGGGAAGUUCCAUCGCCGGCGCUGCUGUUAGUGGAAGCCGCUACCACCGCAGCGGGGAAAACGAACAUGGGAGAAGAGGUUUCGUUGAUGCUGUCACAGAGGAAGAGGACGAGACAUGUGUGAGAGAGUGACGCACCGAGGAGGGACCAUUCCUCUGCCGCUGCUGCCGCCGGAAUUUCUGGUUGCCGCCAUGAUUAAUGGGCUGUUUCUGCCCUUGACUACAUUAGAUUCAAAUUCUUGUCCUGCUGCAACCAUCAUCAUUGCCGCGAAAUUAAAGUUGUUGCUGUUCCAGCGGUGUCCUUGAUUGCAUUAGGAUUGUUGUCACUGCUGUAAAUUAGGAACGAAACGGGGGCAGUUGUGUUCAAAUUCUGCAAUUACGUCAUCGAGUGACAGGUUUGAAGACGCAAUUUGAAGCUGCGAGCGAUUAGUAGGCUUUCUUUAUGGUUUUAAUUGCUUUCAUAGAGUCCCCUCGCUCUUGUCCUUUGAAGUUUUAUUUUAACAAAGGGUUAGGUGUUGUAUUUGGGUUUAUAUGACUUCUUAUGUAUAAGAAUUACUAUUAAUAAUACUUAUGUGAUUGUUAUUAUUAUUUGCAA